rnacentral:lncRNA from 1 species
CUCAGGUGAUCCACCCACCUCGGCCUCUCAAUGUGCUGGGAUUACAGGCGUGAGCCACCGCACCUGGCCGGAAGGUGUUUUUUAUGAAAUGCAGAAAUCUGCGUGAAGUGAGGGAGUGAGCCAUAAUAAUUGAAGAUGGGUAGAGGGGAUGUACUUGGUAUACAGCAAGGAUGCCAGUGUAGCAGAAAUGAGUAGCAAGGAGGGUAGGGUAGGCUGGUGGGGAGGGUAUGGAGAGGUCUUUAGAGAGGCAGCCAGAGGCUACAAUGAGGACUUGCAGAGGCUGCUAAAAUUUUUGGUAUUACACUAAGUGUGAUGAGAAGCCAUUGGCGGGUACUGAGUAGAGGGAUGACAUGACUAGACUUAACACCUGAAUGGGAUCAUCCUGGCUGGUGUAGGGUGUAAGCUCAAGAAUGAGAAGCAGGGAGACAGGAAGUUGUUUUGACAGUUUCGUGCAUUAUAAUGGUGGUUUGAAUUGGGUUGGUGGGGAUGGAGGUGAAAAGGUGUAGUGAAAUUUGGUGAAUAUUUUGAAAGUCCAUUUGAAAGAAAUUUUUGUAUACUGAAUGUAUGAUAUGAAGUCAAGGAUGACACUUAGGAUUUUGGCUUAAACAACUAAAUGAAUGAACAACUGGUUUACUGGCAUCAUGAAGAUUUGAUCAUCCUUUCAAUAUUUGCUCAAAUUUGAUAAACCUGCAUUUCCCCUCAUUCAUUUUCAGUUGGCAGAUGCGCCUUGCUACUGAUGGCUGUCAGUGGCCACCGGCGCACUGCUCUAUCUGAUGUCUGUGUCUCCAUCUCUCUUCCACUUGGUUGCCAGCAGCUGAGAGGAAUUCAUCCUUUCUGCAUUCCAUUAUUUUAUAAUUUUAUGACAGAGGAUGUAGCCAAAGUUAGAAAGAAGGUGUUUUUCCUGGACCCACUGAAAAUGCAUUGGGUUAACUGAAGAUCACGAGCAAGUUUCCCUUCAGGGACUGGUCAGCUUUGGAGGUCAUUGAAACCGGGAAGGAAUCUUACGUGGCUACCCAAUUUAGCAAGCAAAUGUAUUUUUUUUUUUAUUUUUCAGAAACAAUUAACUGAGAGGACACAUCUAGCCUUGUGGCCCUUUUCUCCUUUAUCCAUGCCGCUUCGCUGUCUGAAUUAUUCUACACCGUUUAUACAAAACCCAUAGCUUUUAUGCUGUCCUUCGAGUACCGAUGCACUUUAUCACACCUGGUAGAAAUUUACUAGUCAUAAAUGGAAUUAUUUAGGGGAUUCUGUACAAAUCUAGACAGUCUUUAACUCGAGAACUUAUGAAGAAGGUUUAUGAUGAUCAUAAGGCUUAUGAUUAUCUUGACUGUGGCAAUACACAAACUUGCGUUGUCAUUCUGACAGGUGAAGACCAAAAAUGAAAGCAUAUCGACAACCACAUUUCUUCAACGUGGUAAGUUCCUGGAGAUUGUUGUUUUAAAAAUGUGCUUGCUGCCUGCCACUCUGCCACCAAAAAUAGCCAGUCUGAAGGGGCUAAGUGUUAGAGGACAUUCCUGGAAACUAGUUCAUCAGAGACCAUUUGUGACAAAACAUUCUUGAAUUAUUUUUCACUACCUUCUCUCUCUGGCAAAUGGAACCAAUUUCUGUCAAAAGAGGUAGGUCUUCUUUAUGAAUCAAAUAUACUUCUUACUGCCAAAACGUGAAAUGGAAAAACGAACUUAAGCUAGUAGUUUAUCUCAGCCAUUACAGAGUAUCUAUUAGUGGGAAUCAAUGGCGCCAAACACACAAUGUACUACAAUACUAUUUUAGGAGGCAGAAGAAAGGAUUGGAAGAAAAAAUUAUUGGCAUUUGAACCAGAAAAUCUGGUCAGGGAACACAGAAGUUCUUUGUUAAUAGUUCUAUAACCUUGAACAAGUUAUUUUGCCUUUCUGAUCCUGGGUCUUCGGCUAUGAAACGCUGCCAAAAAUGACUGCUCUGUGUCUUUGUGUCAAAGACUGAAAGCGUCACAUCAGUGAAAAUUCGGAUAGACACACUGCCGCAUAUAAAUCCGGUGCUUUAUGAUCUCACACUGCACGGAUUUGGAAACUACUGCAUGUGCACGAUUCUCAGCCUAGUUCCCUGCAGGUGAGGGAUUUUUUUUUUUUUCCAGAAAGAAAACUGUUAGCUCUGCCCUGAAGAUGAGUCCCACAGAGGUUUUGCAGGGUGGAGUUACCGAGAAAUUGACUUCGGGGAGACGAAGCUCCGACCUCCCAGGCACCAAGAUCUUUACCAACAACCCGGGAUGCUCACUGCAGGAGGGAGCGGCUCACGAGAGCCGCAGCGCUGCGCCGUUUGGAGAGGGGUCAUCCGCCCCGGAACCGACGUGAGCGCGGGGCCGGCCCGUGGAGGCGGCUGAGGGAUCCCCCACUUCCAGCCCGCCCGCUCGGAGCCGAACCCCGA